UGCGGUAUACGAGGAGGCGAGCGGUGUUCGAAUUCUAAGCGGUAAAGGAGCGUAGCCGUUUGAUAAGUCUGAUGUGAAAUCUAUGGGCUCCAACCCCAUAGCUUGCAUUAGAAACUGUCGGGCUUGAGUAUUGGAGAGGUGAGUGGAAUUUCUGGUGUAGCGGUGAAAUGCGUAGAUAUCGGAAGGAACACCUGUGGCGAAAGCGGCUCACUGGACCAUUACUGACGCUGAUGCACGAAAGCUAGGGGAGCAAACAGGAUUAGAUACCUGGUAGUCCUAGCCCUAAACGAUGAUUGCUUGAUGUGGAGGGUACCCAAUCCUUCCGUGUCGUAGCUAACGCGAUAAGCAAUCCGCCUGGGGAGUACGGUCGCAAGACUGAAACUCAAAGGAAUUGACGGGGGCCCGCACAAGCGGUGGAGCAUGUGGUUCAAUUCGACGCAACGCGAAGAACCUUACCUGGGCUCGAAGCGCAGUGGACCGGGGUGGAAACAUCCCUUUUCGCAAGAACUGCUGCGGAGGUACUGCAUGGCUGUCGUCAGCUCGUGUCGUGAGAUGUUGGGUUAAGUCCCGCAACGAGCGCAACCCUUAUCCCUAGUUGCCACCGGGUCAAGCCGAGCCACACUAGUGAAACUGCCUGGGAUAACCAGGAGGAAGGUGGGGAUGACGUCAAGUCCUCAUGGCCUUUAUGUCCAGGGCUACACACGUGCUACAAUGGUCGGUACAAACCGUCGCAAACCCGUGAGGGGAAGCUAAUCGGAAAAAGCCGGCCUCAGUUCGGAUUGGAGUCUGCAACUCGACUCCAUGAAGCUGGAAUCGCUAGUAAUCGCGGAUCAGAACGCCGCGGUGAAUACGUUCCCGGGCCUUGUACACACCGCCCGUCACAUCACGAAAGUGGGCCGUACUAGAAGCAGGUGUGCUAACCGCAAGGAGGCAGCCUUCCAAGGUACAGCUCAUGAUUGGGGUGAAGUCGUAACAAGGUAGCCGUA
rnacentral:rRNA from 1 species